GUACACUCCUACGGGAGGCAGCAGUGGGGAAUAUUGGACAAUGGGCGCAAGCCUGAUCCAGCCAUGCCGCGUGAGUGAUGAAGGCCCUAGGGUUGUAAAGCUCUUUCACCGGUGAAGAUAAUGACGGUAACCGGAGAAGAAGCCCCGGCUAACUUCGUGCCAGCAGCCGCGGUAAUACGAAGGGGGCUAGCGUUGUUCGGAUUUACUGGGCGUAAAGCGCACGUAGGCGGACUAUUAAGUCAGGGGUGAAAUCCCGGGGCUCAACCCCGGAACUGCCUUUGAUACUGGUAGUCUUGAGUUCGAGGGAGGUGAGUGGAAUUCCGAGUGUAGAGGUGAAAUUCGUAGAUAUUCGGAGGAACACCAGUGGCGAAGGCGGCUCACUGGCUCGAUACUGACGCUGAGGUGCGAAAGCGUGGGGAGCAAACAGGAUUAGAUACCCUUGUAGUCCC
rnacentral:rRNA from 1 species